rnacentral:lncRNA from 1 species
GAGCAUUCUUGGGCAAUCCGCGAUAUUCAGCUGCUCUGUUCGCCGGAUGCCGGGAGUUCUCAUCCUCAAAGGAGUUUCUCGAAACAGCCAAAUAUGUGCUGAAGAACGCGCGAUCCUUAGUGAUUGUGCAUAACAGAAAUAAGAUCCGGG